AUCUUAUGGUUUUAAAGAUUAAUCUUUAAAUUAAAAGGGAAGUUGGUGAAAGUCCAACGCGAACCCGUCACUGUAACAAGGAGUAUAUUCUAGUUAAGCCACUGUUAAUUUUAAUUAAUGGGAAGGGUAGAAUAUAUGUUGAUAUGAAGUCAGGAGACCUGCCACAAGGAU
rnacentral:ncRNA from 1 species